rnacentral:sRNA from 1 species
GCAAACUUGGAAGACUUGGAGAUGCAGA